rnacentral:SRP_RNA from 1 species
UGCCAAGCCCUGUACAACUUUAUGUUGGACAACCCUGCCAGGUCCGGAAGGAAGCAACAGCCUCCAAAGCAGAGUGUGAUACAGUAAGCUUGGCAUUU